GACGAACGCUGGCGGCGUGCCUAAUACAUGCAAGUUGAGCGCUGAAGGUUGGUACUUGUACCAACUGGAUGAGCAGCGAACGGGGGAGUAGCGCGUGGGGAAUCUGCCUUUGAGCGGGGGACAACAUUUGGAAACGAGUGCUAAUACCGCAUAAAAACUUUAAAAAAAAGUUUUAAGUUUGAAAGAUGCAAUUGCAUCACUCAAAGAUGAUCCCGCGUUGUAUUAGCUAGUUGGUGAGGUAAAGGCUCACCAAGGCGAUGAUACAUAGCCGACCUGAGAGGGUGAUCGGCCACAUUGGGACUGAGACACGGCCCAAACUCCUACGGGAGGCAGCAGUAGGGAAUCUUCGGCAAUGGACGAAAGUCUGACCGAGCAACGCCGCGUGAGUGAAGAAGGGUUUCGGAUCGUAAAACUCUGUUGGUAGAGAAGAACGUUGGUGAGAGUGGAAAGCUCAUCAAGUGACGGUAACUACCCAGAAAGGGACGGCUAACUACGUG
rnacentral:rRNA from 1 species